rnacentral:rRNA from 2 species
AAAGGUGCUUGCAUCUUGAUUUAAUUUUGAACGAGUGGCGGACGGGUGAGUAACACGUGGGUAACCUGCCCUUAAGUGGGGGAUAACAUUUGGAAACAGAUGCUAAUACCGCAUAAAUCCAAGAACCGCAUGGUUCUUGGCUGAAAGAUGGCGUAAGCUAUCGCUUUUGGAUGGACCCGCGGCGUAUUAGCUAGUUGGUGAGGUAACGGCUCACCAAGGCAAUGAUACGUAGCCGAACUGAGAGGUUGAUCGGCCACAUUGGGACUGAGACACGGCCCAAACUCCUACGGGAGGCAGCAGUAGGGAAUCUUCCACAAUGGACGCAAGUCUGAUGGAGCAACGCCGCGUGAGUGAAGAAGGCUUUCGGGUCGUAAAACUCUGUUGUUGGAGAAGAAUGGUCGGCAGAGUAACUGUUGUCGGCGUGACGGUAUCCAACCAGAAAGCCACGGCUAACUACGUGCCAGCAGCCGCGGUAAUACGUAGGUGGCAAGCGUUAUCCGGAUUUAUUGGGCGUAAAGCGAGCGCAGGCGGUUUUUUAAGUCUGAUGUGAAAGCCCUCGGCUUAACCGAGGAAGUGCAUCGGAAACUGGGAAACUUGAGUGCAGAAGAGGACAGUGGAACUCCAUGUGUAGCGGUGAAAUGCGUAGAUAUAUGGAAGAACACCAGUGGCGAAGGCGGCUGUCUGGUCUGUAACUGACGCUGAGGCUCGAAAGCAUGGGUAGCGAACAGGAUUAGAUACCCUGGUAGUCCAUGCCGUAAACGAUGAAUGCUAGGUGUUGGAGGGUUUCCGCCCUUCAGUGCCGCAGCUAACGCAUUAAGCAUUCCGCCUGGGGAGUACGACCGCAAGGUUGAAACUCAAAGGAAUUGACGGGGGCCCGCACAAGCGGUGGAGCAUGUGGUUUAAUUCGAAGCAACGCGAAGAACCUUACCAGGUCUUGACAUCUUUUGAUCACCUGAGAGAUCAGGUUUCCCCUUCGGGGGCAAAAUGACAGGUGGUGCAUGGUUGUCGUCAGCUCGUGUCGUGAGAUGUUGGGUUAAGUCCCGCAACGAGCGCAACCCUUAUGACUAGUUGCCAGCAUUUAGUUGGGCACUCUAGUAAGACUGCCGGUGACAAACCGGAGGAAGGUGGGGAUGACGUCAAAUCAUCAUGCCCCUUAUGACCUGGGCUACACACGUGCUACAAUGGAUGGUACAACGAGUUGCGAGACCGCGAGGUCAAGCUAAUCUCUUAAAGCCAUUCUCAGUUCGGACUGUAGGCUGCAACUCGCCUACACGAAGUCGGAAUCGCUAGUAAUCGCGGAUCAGCACGCCGCGGUGAAUACGUUCCCGGGCCUUGUACACACCGCCCGUCACACCAUGAGAGUUUGUAACACCCGAAGCCG